GUCCAGCUCCUCUGGGCAGUGAACAGCGUGUGGCCCCUGACUCGGAAAAGGGUGUUUAGUGUGUGCGCGGCCUUUGUCACGGUCUGGGCCCCUCACGCAUAAAAUGGGACAAUAAUAGUACCUACCUCUUAGGCAUUAAACACCUACUGUGUACCAGGUGGAUGCUAGGUCCUGGCACAGACCUGCUCUCAUGGACUGCACCCAGCUGAGUGAUCUCAUCUUAGCCUGUUGAUUUGUUUGUUUUUUAAUAAAAUGUUCCUUUUUUAUGAUAAAAAAAUAAUGCAUACUUCCAGUAGAAAAGUUGAGAAAACUUUUAGAAAUCUCUCUUAAAAACACAUCUCUCAGGGACUUCCCUGGUGGUGCAGUGCUUAAGAAUCCACCUGCCCAUGCAGGGGACACGGCUUGGAGCCCUGGUCCGGGAAGAUCCCACACGCCAGGGAGCAACUACACCCGUGAGCCACAACUACUGAGCCCGCGUGCCGCAACUACUGAAGCCCACGCGCCUAGAGCCCGUGCUUCACAAGAGAAGCCACCACAGUAAGAAGCCCGCGCACCACAACAAAGAGUAGCCCCUGCUCGCCGCAACUAGAGAAAAGCCCACGUGCAGCAACAAAGACCCAACGCAGCCAAAACUAACUAACUAAAUAAAUAAAAACUCUUAUGUGUUCACAAAGAUAAA